GUGUAGUUAAAAAGAAAGUUGGUAAUAAGAUAGACGAGUUGUAAAUUUUAACUGUACGACCGUAUCACUCAAAUUGGCUACUAUUUCUGUAACCGUUCUUCGUUCCACACAACAUAAUCAGCUAAAGAAAAAUGACAAAUGAUCGUUACUGACUGAACAUAUUUGCUUCCUCUAGUGAAUUUGUUCCAAUCUAGCAGAUGAUUCCAGCAAACGGGCGAUGCAAAUUGCUCCAGCAAUUUGAAUUUGGCAGAACUUUUUGACGAUGGAAUGGAAACGGAGAUGGAAGAUGUCAAAUUCUGCUAUACGAGGAAGCAAGAAGGCAGAACCAAACCAACCUUAAUUAUUGUCACCUGACAGUUAUGCACAUAAAUACAAGGUAGAAGCAAAGCAGAAAA